rnacentral:rRNA from 1 species
GAUGAACGCUGGCGGCGUGCCUAAUACAUGCCAGUCGAGCGAACAGAUGAGGAGCUUGCUCCUCUGACGUUAGCGGCGGACGGGUGAGUAACACGUGGAUAACCUACCUAUAAGACUGGGAUAACUUCGGGAAACCGGAGCUAAUACCGGAUAAUAUAUUGAACCGCAUGGUUCAAUAGUGAAAGACGGUUUUGCUGUCACUUAUAGAUGGAUCCGCGCCGCAUUAGCUAGUUGGUAAGGUAACGGCUUACCAAGGCAACGAUGCGUAGCCGACCUGAGAGUGUGAUCGGCCACACUGGAACUGAGACACGGUCCAGACUCCUACGGGAGGCAGCAGUAGGGAAUCUUCCGCAAUGGGCGAAAGCCUGACGGAGCAACGCCGCGUGAGUGAUGAAGGUCUUCGGAUCGUAAAACUCUGUUAUUAGGGAAGAACAAAUGUGUAAGUAACUAUGCACGUCUUGACGGUACCUAAUCAGAAAGCCACGGCUAACUACGUG